rnacentral:rRNA from 1 species
CAGUGGCGAAAGGGUGAGUAACGCGCGGGCAAUCUACCUCGAAGUUGGGAAUAACCCGGGGAAACCUGGGAUAAUUCCGAAUGUGGUCGCUUCCGGCAUCGGGAGCUGUCUAAAGCUGGGGACCGCAAGGCCUAGCGCUACGAGAUGAGCCCACGUCCUAUCAGCUUGUUGGUGAGGUAACGGCUCACCAAGGGCUUACGGGUAGCUGGUCUGARAGGAUGGUCAGCCACACUGGGACUGAGACACUGCCCAGACUCCUACGGGAGGCUGCAGUCGAGAAUCAUUCGCAAUGGGCGCAAGCCUGACGAUGCGACGCCGCGUGCAGGAUGAAAGCCUUCGGGUUGUAAACUGCUGUGAUGGGGGAACAACGAGCGGGACGCUAACACCGUCACGCAAUGAUAGUACCCCAAGAGGAAGCCACGGCUAACUCUGUGCCAGCAGCCGCGGUAAUACAGAGGUGGCAAGCGUUGUUCGGAUUUACUGGGCGUAAAGGGUGCGUAGGCGGCUUCAUGUGUCGGAUGUGAAAUCCCACGGAUCAUCCGUGGAACUGCAUUCGAAACUGUGAGGCUUGAGUGUCGGAGAGGUGGGCGGAAUUCACGGUGUAGCAGUGAAAUGCGUUGAUAUCGUGAAGAACGCCGGAGGCGAAGGCGGCCCACUGGACGACAACUGACGCUGAGGCACGAAAGAUGGGGGAGCAAACAGGAUUAGAUACCCUGGUAGUCCCAUCCGUAAACGGUGUGCACUUGGUGUAGGAGGAAUUAUCCCCUUCUGUGCCGGAGCUAACGCGUU